UACGAAGGGGCUAGCGUUGCUCGGAAUCACUGGGCGUAAAGCGCACGUAGGCGGAUUGCUAAGUCAGGGGUGAAAUCCUGGAGCUCAACUCCAGAACUGCCUUUGAUACUGGCGACCUUGAGUCCGGGAGAGGUGAGUGGAACUGCGAGUGUAGAGGUGAAAUUCGUAGAUAUUCGCAAGAACACCAGUGGCGAAGGCGGCUCACUGGCCCGGUACUGACGCUGAGGUGGCGAAAGCGUGGGGAGCAACAGG
rnacentral:rRNA from 1 species